rnacentral:rRNA from 1 species
UGAGGAAUAUUGGGCAAUGGGCGCAAGCCUGACCCAGCAACGCCGCGUGGAGGAAGACGGCCUUCGGGUUGUAAACUCCUUUUACGGGGGAAGAGGAAGGACGGUACCCCGAGAAUAAGUCACGGCUAACUACGUGCCAGCAGCCGCGGUAAUACGUAGGUGACAAGCGUUAUCCGGAAUUACUGGGCGUAAAGCGCACGCAGGCGGCGCAUUAAGUCUGACGUGAAAUCUCCUGGCUUAACUGGGAGGGGUCGUUGGAGACUGGUGUGCUUGAGGCGAUGAGAGGGGUGUAGAAUUCCCGGUGUAGUGGUGGAAUGCGUAGAUAUCGGGAGGAAUACCAGUGGCGAAAGCGACACCCUGGCAUUAGCCUGACGCUCAGGUGCGAAGGCGUGGGGAGCGAACGGGAUUAGAUACCCCGGUAGUCCACGCGGUAAACGAUGAAUACUAGGUGUGGGUGGAGUGAAAUCCAUCUGUGCCGAAGC